rnacentral:lncRNA from 1 species
UCGUCGACGCACAUAAUAUUAUGGUGCUCAAGAUAGCACAUGCGUCGUCGCUAUAGAGCUACGGGCACCAGCAACUUUCUAAGAAAUGAUGAAGCUGAGCUGUAUGCUUCACAGAACCUGGGUUGGCAGCAACAUUCUCGUUAGGAUAGU